rnacentral:rRNA from 1 species
AUUGAACGCUGGCGGCAUGCCUAACACAUGCAAGUCGAACGGCAGCACAAUAAAGAUUUCGGUCUUUAUGGGUGGCGAGUGGCGGACGGGUGAGUAACGCGUAGGAAUCUGUCCUGGAGAGUGGGAUAACCCGAGGAAACUCGGGCUAAUCCUGCAUGACAUUGCGAGAGAAAAAACAGGGGACCGAAAGGCGUUGGGCUCUGGGGUGAUCCUACGUGGGAUUUGCUAGUUGGUGGGGUAAAGGCCUACCAAGGCGACGAUCCGUAGCUGGUCUGAGAGGAUGACCAGCCACACUGGGACUGAGACACGGCCCAGACUCCUACGGGAGGCAGCAGUGGGGAAUCUUGGACAAUGGGGGAAACCCUGAUCCAGCGAUGCCGCGUGUGUGAAGAAGGCCUUCGGGUUGUAAAGCACUUUAGGUGGGGAAGAAAGGUAGCGAGUGAAUAACUUUCUGCUGUGACGGUACCCACAGAAUAAGCACCGGCUAACUCUGUGCCAGCCGCCGCCGUAA